UUUAUCUUGCCAAACAACUUGCUAAACUUUCUGCAGCAAACCCAGGGAAGGUUGGUAUUCUCUUUGUUUCACUCUUUAAAUAAGCCCUUUAGACACUGGUUUAUGAAUAGAAUAUUAGAACAAAGACAGUCUUGAUUUUUUUUUUGUAAUUCUAACAAGCUUUUUUCAUAGUCCUUUUAAGUCUAUCAUUUCUGCUCAAGAAAAAAAACAAUUGACAUUUCUCAACUUUUUUAUUGAUGGUAAAUUUAGUUCUUGAUUAAAGUGGCACUCAAGUCAAACAUUUGAAGCCGUACCAGAACUACCAUGCCCCAACUAAAAAUUGGUUAUUUUUCAACCACUGUAUUACAAAACAUUGAAAACAAAGGGCUUAGAACCAUUUUAUAAAGAGCUGGGACUUUCGGUAGGACAUAACUAUCUAUUUCUUGCAUCAAAACAUAAUUAAAAUGACGCUGGUUUAGAGUGAAAUAUGCAUGGAUUGCACAGACUGAGGUCAAAAGCCAAGUCCAAGCUCUUGUUAUAAUGAUUCUACACUGUAUAUUUGUGGUUGCUCAAAAGAACAAUUCUCAAUUAAAAAUAAUGAGAUAUAUCCCUAUUUCCCUAUCUCAAAGGCAUUAUGGUUCAAGAUCCCAGGAAUGACUGGAUGAUGGAGCAAUGUAAUACAACAUGUAUAUAUAUGGGAAUUUGUUUAAUUUGGGUUUUAAUGUAGGAAGAAAAAUCUACCAUCUAGUCUUGGCAUGAUUUUGUUUAAACCCUUUGCUUAUCUAUAUUUGCAGAUUGCUCCAUUGAUUCGAAGUGGUUUAGAAGAAGGCGCCCAGACCUUUCUGCAGAAAUACUUCACAGCAGCCAAUGUCUCCAUUGCAUGAUAACAAUACUCUUUUCAGAAAAGACUAUGUCAUGGCCAUAUGUGUGCUGCCCUUUGACUCAAGGCUGAUCUGUUAGAUACAUCGCUCAGUGUUCAUUGUUCUCCUACCUGAACUUACUUGUACUUCGUCCUAAAUGUUGUGCAAAGCAUGGACUACAAAAUAUCAAUCUAUUGUGCAAGCUUUGUAAACUUUGGGUGCAAAAAUUGAAAGAAAAGUGCUAUGUUAUGUUAUUAAUAAAUUAUGAAUU
rnacentral:misc_RNA from 1 species